rnacentral:rRNA from 1 species
CUUGGCCUACGGGGGGCAGCAGUGAGGAAUAUUGGUCAAUGGCCGGAAGGCUGAACCAGCCAAGUCGCGUGAGGGAAUAAGGCCCUAUGGGCCGUAAACCUCUUUUGUCAGGGAGCAAAGGGCGCCACGUGUGGCGUUUUGCGAGUACCUGAAGAAAAAGCAUCGGCUAACUCCGUGCCAGCAGCCGCGGUAAUACGGAGGAUGCGAGCGUUAUCCGGAUUUAUUGGGUUUAAAGGGUGCGCAGGCGGAAUGUCAAGUCAGCGGUAAAAUUUCGGGGCUCAACCCCGUCGUGCCGUUGAAACUGG